UACUUCUCUAUCCUUAUACCCGCGUCUUUUGAAUCUACUUAUCGAUGCACGGCACAGAAAUAUAUCGGAUAUUUUGUGCGAGACUUAUCGGCGUUUUAUUUUGAAAUCCAAAAUAUUAUAGUCGAGUUUGUGACAACAUUUUUGCGGCAUAAAUUCCCAAAGUGGUCGUAGAGGUUUGAACACUUAUACAUUACCGGCAUGGAUGCCAGUUUCGAAUUGACCCAAUAUUGUCUCUAUACUCAAUGUAGUUUCUGAAAUGGAUAUACACUUACAUGAGCACUAACGACUAACCCCACUAGCGACUAGCCCCUUCCCGUGUCGUGGGACCAACUAUGCCCAACUUAA